AUUGAACGCUGGCGGCAUGCCUUACACAUGCAAGUCGAACGGCAGCACGGGUGCUUGCACCUGGCGGCGAGUGGCGAACGGGUGAGUAAUACAUCGGAACAUGUCCUGUAGUGGGGGAUAGCCCGGCGAAAGCCGGAUUAAUACCGCAUACGAUCUACGGAUGAAAGCGGGGGACCUUCGGGCCUCGCGCUAUAGGGUUGGCCGAUGGCUGAUUAGCUAGUUGGUGGGGUAAAGGCCUACCAAGGCGACGAUCAGUAGCUGGUCUGAGAGGACGACCAGCCACACUGGGACUGAGACACGGCCCAGACUCCUACGGGAGGCAGCAGUGGGGAAUUUUGGACAAAGGGCGAAAGCCUGAUCCAGCAAUGCCGCGUGUGUGAAGAAGGCCUUCGGGUUGUAAAGCACUUUUGUCCGGAAAGAAAUCCUUGGCCCUAAUACGGUCGGGGGAUGACGGUACCGGAAGAAUAAGCACCGGCUAACUACGUG
rnacentral:rRNA from 1 species